UUGGAGAGGUUUGAUCCUGGCUCAGGAUGAACGCUGGCGGCGUGCCUAAUACAUGCAAGUCGAGCGAACAGAUAAGGAGCUUGCUCCUUUGACGUUAGCGGCGGACGGGUGAGUAACACGUGGAUAACCUACCUAUAAGACUGGGAUAACUUCGGGAAACCGGAGCUAAUACCGGAUAACAUAUUGAACCGCAUGGUUCAAUAGUGAAAGGCGGCUUUGCUGUCACUUAUAGAUGGAUCCGCGCCGUAUUAGCUAGUUGGUAAGGUAACGGCUUACCAAGGCAACGAUACGUAGCCGACCUGAGAGGGUGAUCGGCCACACUGGAACUGAGACACGGUCCAGACUCCUACGGGAGGCAGCAGUAGGGAAUCUUCCGCAAUGGGCGAAAGCCUGACGGAGCAACGCCGCGUGAGUGAUGAAGGUCUUCGGAUCGUAAAACUCUGUUAUCAGGGAAGAACAAAUGUGUAAGUAACUGUGCACAUCUUGACGGUACCUGAUCAGAAAGCCACGGCUAACUACGU
rnacentral:rRNA from 1 species